AUGGCUCCCCAGCGCCGCCACCACGCGGCGUGCCUCCUCGUCCUCCUCGCGCUGUGCGCCGCGCCGGCCCACGGCGGCCUCGCGCUGCCGGCCAGGGUCAGCAAGGCGCUGGCGGCGGCGGCCAACGCGACGGCGACGGCGGACGAGUUCCUGGCGCCGCACAACAAGGCGCGCGCGGCGGUCGGGGUGGCUGCGCUGCGGUGGAGCGCCGACCUGACGGCGGCGGCGGCGUGGACCUCGUCCCAGCAGCAGAAGCAGAAGAACUGCGCGUUCGCGGACAUGGGCGCCAGCCCCUACGGCGCGAACCAGGGGUGGGCGAGCUACCGCGCGCGCCCGGCCGAGGUGGUGGCCUCCUGGGUGGCGCAGGGCAAGUACUACACCCACGCCAACAACACCUGCGCCGCCGGCCAGCAGUGCGGCACCUACACGCAGGUGGUGUGGCGCCGCACCGCCGAGGUCGGCUGCGCGCAGGCCAGCUGCGCCUCCGGCGCCACGCUCACGCUCUGCCUCUACAACCCGCACGGCAACGUCAAGGGCGAGAGCCCCUACUAG
rnacentral:rRNA from 1 species